CCUACGGGUGGCUGCAGUGGGGAAUAUUGCACAAUGGGCGCAAGCCUGAUGCAGCCAUGCCGCGUGUGUGAAGAAGGCCUUCGGGUUGUAAAGCACUUUCAGCGGGGAGGAAGGCGUUAAGGUUAAUAACCUUGGCGAUUGACGUUACCCGCAGAAGAAGCACCGGCUAACUCCGUGCCAGCAGCCGCGGUAAUACGGAGGGUGCAAGCGUUAAUCGAAUUACUGGGCGUAAAGCGCACGCAGGCGGUCUGUCAAGUCGGAUGUGAAAUCCCCGGGCUCAACCUGGGAACUGCAUUCGAAACUGGCAGGCUAGAGUCUUGUAGAGGGGGGUAGAAUUCCAGGUGUAGCGGUGAAAUGCGUAGAGAUCUGGAGGAAUACCGGUGGCGAAGGCGGCCCCCUGGACAAAGACUGACGCUCAGGUGCGAAAGCGUGGGGAGCAAACAGGAUUAGAUACCCCUGUAGUC
rnacentral:rRNA from 1 species